AUGCUCACUUCGGCAGCACAUAUACUAAAAUCGGAACAAUACAAAGAUUUGCAUGGCCCCUGCACAAGGAAGACAUGCAAAUUCAUGAAGUGUGUCAUAUAUUU
rnacentral:snRNA from 1 species